ACGGAAGGCAGCAGUGGGGAAUAUUGCACAAUGGGCGAAAGCCUGAUGCAGCGACGCCGCGUGAGUGAAGAAGUAUCUCGGUAUGUAGAGCUCUAUCAGCAGGGAAGAAAAUGACGGUACCUGACUAAGAAGCCCCGGCUAACUACGUGCCAGCAGCCGCGGUAAUACGUAGGGGGCAAGCGUUAUCCGGAUUUACUGGGUGUAAAGGGAGCGUAGACGGUUUGGCAAGUCUGAAGUGAAAUGCGGGGGCUCAACUCCUGAACUGCUUUGGAAACUGUCGAACUAGAGUGCAGGAGAGGUAAGUGGAAUUCCUAGUGUAGCGGUGAAAUGCGUAGAUAUUAGGAGGAACACCAGUGGCGAAGGCGGCUUACUGGACUGUAACUGACGUUGAGGCUCGAAAGCGUGGGGAGCAAACAGGAUUAGAUACCCUGGUA
rnacentral:rRNA from 2 species